AGUUGGAUAGCAGGGUCAAAUGGCGGUCCCAUUUCAAAUUUUCUGAGAAAUCUCCAUACUGUUUUCCAAAGUGGUUGCACCAAUUUGCAGUCCCACUAGCAAU
rnacentral:pre_miRNA from 1 species